UGGGGAAUAUUGCACAAUGGGCGCAAGCCUGAUGCAGCCAUGCCGCGUGUGUGAAGAAGGCCUUCGGGUUGUAAAGCACUUUCAGCGAGGAGGAAGGGUAGUGUGUUAAUAGCACAUUGCAUUGACGUUACUCGCAGAAGAAGCACCGGCUAACUCCGUGCCAGCAGCCGCGGUAAUACGGAGGGUGCAAGCGUUAAUCGGAAUUACUGGGCGUAAAGCGCACGCAGGCGGUUU
rnacentral:rRNA from 1 species